rnacentral:rRNA from 1 species
CCUACGGGAGGCAGCAGUGGGGAAUUUUCCGCAAUGGGCGAAAGCCUGACGGAGCAAUACCGCGUGAGGGACGAAGGCCUGUGGGUUGUAAACCUCUUUUGUUAGGGAAGAUAAUGACGGUACCUAACGAAUAAGCAUCGGCUAACUCCGUGCCAGCAGCCGCGGUAAGACGGAGGAUGCAAGCGUUAUCCGGAAUUAUUGGGCGUAAAGCGUACGUAGGCUGUUUCAUAAGUCUGUUGUCAAAGCGCGAGGCUCAACCUUGUAAAGGCAAUGGAAACUGCGAGACUAGAGAGAGAUAGGGGCAGGAGGAAUUCCAGGUGUAGCGGUGAAAUGCGUAGAUAUCUGGAAGAACACCAGUGGCGAAAGCGUCCUGCUGGAUCUCAACUGACGCUGAAGUACGAAAGCUAGGGGAGCGAAUGGGAUUAGAUACCCCAGUAGUC